UGGCUAUCCACCAAGUUGGACGGGUUCUCGAGUCAAUCCAAAAUGCAUCGUUAGCUCCAGCUGGACAUGGCAUCGUUGGCUAAUGAUGAUUGAAUCGAUGGCCCGGCAACAACGGGCGCUGCAUGCAACAUGUUGCCGAGAAACGCCAUUUACAUAUUUUCCAAAUGGCAAUCGGAAGUUCGUAUUUUCGCAUUUUCCACGCUUAGCCAAAUGGAAAAUGCAAUAAAUCAAAUGCACCAACGGCGGCAACAACAACGCUUCAGUGAAUUUCUUGCUUCGAGUUGGCAGCGCAAAAUAAGAGUUGCCACGUUUAUAUACAUAUCUUGGCAACAAUAUGGCCAAAAGCCGAGGCCACAAUGGCGAUAACGAAGCUAAAAAUACCCUUGAUUGCAGGAUAUUUCCACGAAGCCCUUGGCGAUAUAAGAAUUUCUCAUAAGUGAACUUGUUACAUUCUAAUUGGGCACAUUUGCUUCAAAUUAGUUAUUCCAUAAAAGUCUCUUUUGAAUGUACAACAAUAA